CCAAGAUGGGAGGAUCACUUGAGCCCAGGAGUUUGAGACCAGCCUGGGUAACACAGGGAGACCCCGUCUCAAAUAUUUAAAAAAUUAGUCAUGCGUAGUGGUGCAAGGAUAGCUUGAGCCUGGGAGGACAAGGCUGCAGUGAGCUGUGAUUGCACCACUGCACUCCAGCCUGGCCGAUAGAAUGAGACCCUGUCUUAAAA
rnacentral:lncRNA from 10 species